AUUGAACGCUGGCGGCAUGCUUUACACAUGCAAGUCGAACGGUAACAGGGUGCUUGCACCGCUGACGAGUGGCGAACGGGUGAGUAAUGCGUCGGAACGUGCCGAGUAGUGGGGGAUAACGCAGCGAAAGUUGUGCUAAUACCGCAUACGUACUGAGGUAGAAAGUGGGGGACCUUCGGGCCUCACGCUAUUCGAGCGGCCGACGUCUGAUUAGCUAGUAGGUGAGGUAAAGGCUCACCUAGGCGACGAUCAGUAGCGGGUCUGAGAGGAUGAUCCGCCACACUGGGACUGAGACACGGCCCAGACUCCUACGGGAGGCAGCAGUGGGGAAUUUUGGACAAUGGGCGAAAGCCUGAUCCAGCCAUGCCGCGUGUCUGAAGAAGGCCUUCGGGUUGUAAAGGACUUUUGUCAGGGAGGAAAUCCCUAGCGUUAAUACCGCUGGGGGAUGACAGUACCUGAAGAAUAAGCACCGGCUAACUACGUGCCAGCCGCCGCAGUAAGAC
rnacentral:rRNA from 1 species